UACGGAGGGUGCAACCGUUGCUCGGAAUCAUUGGGCGUAAAGCGCACGUAGGCGGACCGCUAAGUCGGAUGUGAAAGCCCUCGGCUUAACCGAGGAAGUGCAUUCGAAACUGACGGUCUUGAUUAUGGAAGAGGGUCGCGGAAUUCCCGGUGUAGAGGUGAAAUUCGUAGAUAUCGGGAGGAACACCAGUGGCGAAGGCGGCGACCUGGGCCAAUACUGACGCUGAGGUGCGAAAGCGUGGGGAGCAAACAGG
rnacentral:rRNA from 1 species